rnacentral:lncRNA from 1 species
UUCUUUUUCAGCUUCUGCAAGUGCUGCAAUCAUCUGUCUUUUGAUUUCUCUUAAUUCUGGAUCUGAAACUCCAGUUUGAUAGAUGGCAGCUCUAAGAUCAUAAAUCUUAUUUCUUUUCAUGUCCUUGUCCAGCCUAAUGUAGUAAGCUUUGUCAGACUCUUCAUUAAACAUAAGAGCCCUGAUUCCAGCUACUGUCUCCAAUUGUGCUGAAUUUUUCUUCAUCUCAACUAGCUGUCCUUUGUCAUUGAAGUAUUUUGGAACAAAAGGUCCAGCAUUCUUGUUUCCAGUUAUACUCAUCUUUCUCCUGAUUUGAUCUUUGAUCAGAUUUGAGAUGUAUUGACAUGACUUGUUCUUCACUUGAAAUAUGUACAAAACAUAUCUCAAUUCCUCCCAGUGUUUAGCAUAAAUAUCAGCUUCAAUAACCCUAAACAC